rnacentral:rRNA from 1 species
AUUGAACGCUGGCGGCAGGCCUAACACAUGCAAGUCGAGCGGAUCGGCGGACGGGUGCGUAAUGCCUAUGAAUCUGCCUGGUAGUGGGGGAUAACGUCCGUAAACGGGCGCUAAUACCGCUUACUAUCAGAUGAGCCUAGGUCGGAUUUGCUAGGUGUUGGGGUAAAGGACUACCAAGGCGACGAUCCGUAACUGGUCUGAGAGGAUGAUCAGUAACACGGGAACUGAGACACGGUCCAGACUCCUACGGGAGGCAGCAGUGGGGAAUAUUGGACAAUGGGCGAAAGCCUGAUCCAGCCAUGCCGCGUGUGUGAAGAAGGUCUUCGGAUUGUAAAGCACUUUAAGUUGGGAGGCGUUACCAACAGAAUAAGCACCGGCUAACUUCGUGCCAGCAGCCGCGGUAAUUC